rnacentral:lncRNA from 1 species
GUCCGCGCUGUCGUUCUCGCUGCUGCUUCUGACGCUGGCCGCUGCCGCCGCCGCCGCUGCCGCCACCGCCGCGCCACAGCUCGACUUCCACGACGCUGUCGUUGUGGAGGCGGAGGCGCGCGCGGAGCCCCGGCCACAGCCGGCCGGCCGGCCUGACUGCAGCCUGGAGGCGGCGCCCGGCCGCUGCCGCGGGCUCUUCCACAGCUUCUUCUGGAACGCCACCGCCCGCCGCUGCCAGCCCUUCAUCUGGAGCGGUUGCGAAGGCAACUCCAACAGGUUCGACAGUGAAGAAGACUGCCGCCACGCUUGCGCAUGAAUGCAACGACGUCCCUUCCCAAGAUGACGUCAACAGUCGCACAACUGCACAUUAGAUAAGGUGUCACACUGAAGUAUAACGCACCUACAUUGAAUGGAAACGCCAUUAUUCUGGGAGCCUUUGGACCCUUCUUUCACAUCUGUGGAUCAUUCUUAAUCAAGACAUGUCAUAUGGAUAUUUCAAUUUACAUUUUCAGUAUUUAUGUGUUCAGUGUAACUAAUUACAUCUGUUAAAUACA